UACGUAGGGUGCGAGCGUUGUCCGGAAUUAUUGGGCGUAAAGGGCUCGUAGGCGGUUUGUCGCGUCGGGAGUGAAAACCAGGUGCUUAACACCUGGCUUGCUUUCGAUACGGGCAGACUAGAGGUAUUCAGGGGAGACUGGAAUUCCUGGUGUAGCGGUGGAAUGCGCAGAUAUCAGGAGGAACACCGGUGGCGAAGGCGGGUCUCUGGGCAGUAACUGACGCUGAGGAGCGAAAGCGUGGGGAGCGAACAGG
rnacentral:rRNA from 1 species